GGCUGGUGGAGAGACGUGGCCAGCGGCCAGCAAAAAAGCUGAUGGAGAGGACCAGAGCAGAGCCCUGCAGAGGUGUGGCGAUUGGCUGUUGGGGCGACGAGCGAGUGUCCGAGCAGUGCUGUGCAUAAGGUGCCUCCUUACCCACCCUGCCUUCCACACAUGGUGGAAGGUGAACUCUGCGGAUGAACCUCUGAACUCUGGGGCUGCACUGGCCAAGGACAGCAACUGCAUGUAUACCACAGUCACUGCCAUGAUACCUGAUUCUCUUCCUAAAGUGACACUGUUUCCAGUUGAGAUGGACAAAGCUGGCGCAAGAUAAAACAUUGAUUCCACAUUGAUAUUUGAAGAGAAGAACAAGGUAAGUUGUACAUCUAAAACAUGCAGGCUGUGAGAGGGCAAGGUCCUGCCCUUGUCUUCUGCUCUGUCUACACAUAGUAUUCAGAGAUCUUCAGCUGUUAAACAUCACAGUGUAGUUUAUUUACAUUGCUCUUCACAUCACCUUACUGAUCCAUACACCACAUCAUUUACAGCUUCAGUUUCUCCUCAGCCAUCUGGCAAAGAGAGGGAAGAGGUCUUGUCACCCAGAGAUCCUUCUUGGUUCUGACUCUCCUACUCUGACCCUCUUCCCCAGCACUGCCUUCCAGUGCUUUCUUCUACCCUCUGUGUUAAUGGGCUAAUUAGCUCUUUAAUCCUCCCCAGUCCAUUCUAAACUGCUAAUUAGGCACGGUGGUGGUGUUGGGGAAUUAAUUAAUGUUUAAGUGAUCAGAGUGCAGGCUCAAGUGUUGGUUCCCAGCACUCUGUCACAGGUGGAAUCCAUAAAAGAGCAAAGGAGAAUAAGGAAAACAAAACAGGUUUGGGGUCACAUGGGCAACUAUACCUACGGAACAUUUGCAAGCAAGUGAAAUACAACCAGAGUAGGCCACUAUCUACUAUAAAUCCCAUCAUCCUCAUGACAUACUAAUGUGACAAAGUUUUUCCAUUUACACACUUUUCUUGUUCAAAGGAAUGAAUGAUUUCCAGUUUCCCCUGCAGCCCCAGAAGCUACAUGCGUUCUGAAAUGAAUUCUUUAUAUUAUACCAUCUGUCUCACUGUGGUCUGCAAUAUAAAGAAACAGCACAGAAUGCUGUGAAAAUUUUGUUAACAGCCCGCAACAAUUUAUUUUUGAUUAGUGGCAUGAAUGAGGAAAAUACAUUUUAGUUUCCCUGCUAGACCUAGCGCGCAGCAGGAAAAUUACAUGCCUGAAGGAUAUGUUCAGAUGUACGCCAAACCUUGUGAUGUUUCCAGAUUAUUUAACUUCGCCACAGGAAAUCAGAAAGAAAUAUUUAUAUGCUACGAUGUAUUUUUGAACUGCAGUCCAGUGGGGUUUGCAAGUUUUCUGAGCUUCCAGCAGAAAUAGUAGACUUGUUUGUGCUGAGUGGAAGAUAACUGAAACCAUAUCACAUUUUCAAAGACAAGUCCCACAACUUUCAUGCUAAUGACAUUAAAAAAUAUACUCGGUGAUGAGCUUUUUCAGCCAUAAUGAACAACUGCACAGUUCAUUAAUUUGGGUGUGAGUGGUGAAUCUUAUUUAUUUAUUCUUUUUAAAAUCAGAUAAUGAAUUGCGUGCUCAUGAAAAUGAAGACUAAGGGCCCAAUCCUGCUAUGGGCUGAGCAAAGUCAAUUCCUAUUGAAGUCAAUGGGAGAGGUGUGUGCUCAGCUCCUACCAAUAUUGAGUCCUAAUGGUCCUGGCUUGAGCCAAUUGGUAGGCACUAUGCCAGGUUUCUUCACACAGUUCUGCCAAGGCAUCUCACCUCUGGCCCUCAAACUCUCUGGCUAUUCCAACCCUGAACUGUGCCAAAAUGCAUGGUGGUUUUGUGAUGUGCCCAAAUGGAGAUGAAGAUGAGACCAAGAAUGUUUUCAUUGUGUCCUUUCCAACUUUUCAACAGUUUAAUUGGACAUGAAUUGAUACAUUUAUCCCAGGUUUAUUUUUACUAUUCUUUAUGGCAUUUGCUUUGACUUGGGGCUUUCUGUUUAAUUUUCAUCACGCUUAUUUCUCAAUCAAAAUAUGACAAAACCAUUGCUUCCUCCAGGAAUAUAUUCUGUGUAAGAUUUGCAAUGUGACAUAAUCCUAUUUCUAUAUUUUAAUAUAUAUAGGAAACAAAA